GCUUGUCUCAAAGAUUAAGCCAUGCAUGUCUAAGUGUAAAUAAGUCUAUACUGUGAAACUGCGAAUGGCUCAUUAAAUCAGUUAUCGUUUAUUUGAUGAUCUCUUACUACUUGGAUAACCGUAGUAAUUCUAGAGCUAAUACAUGCAUCAAUACCCAACUGUUCGCGGAAGGGUAGUAUUUAUUAGAUUGAAACCAAUGCAGUCUUCGGGCUGGUAUUGUGUUGAGUCAUAAUAACUGUGCGGAUCGCGUUUUACGCGAUAAAUCGAUUGAGUUUCUGCCCUAUCAGCUUUGGAUGGUAGGAUAUGGGCCUACCAUGGCAUUAACGGGUAACGGGGAAUUAGGGUUUGAUUCCGGAGAGGGAGCCUUAGAAACGGCUACCACAUCCAAGGAAGGCAGCAGG
rnacentral:rRNA from 1 species